UUGAACGCUGGCGGCAUGCCUUACACAUGCAAGUCGAACGGUAACAGGUCUUCGGAUGCUGACGAGUGGCGAACGGGUGAGUAAUACAUCGGAACGUGCCCGAUCGUGGGGGAUAACGCAGCGAAAGCUGUGCUAAUACCGCAUACGAUCUACGGAUGAAAGCGGGGGAUCGCAAGACCUCGCGCGGACGGAGCGGCCGAUGGCAGAUUAGGUAGUUGGUGGGAUAAAAGCUUACCAAGCCGACGAUCUGUAGCUGGUCUGAGAGGACGACCAGCCACACUGGGACUGAGACACGGCCCAGACUCCUACGGGAGGCAGCAGUGGGGAAUUUUGGACAAUGGGCGCAAGCCUGAUCCAGCCAUGCCGCGUGAGUGAAGAAGGCCUUCGGGUUGUAAAGCUCUUUCAGACGGAAAGAAAUCGGGCGCGUGAAUAGCGUGCCUGGAUGACGGUACUGUCAGAAGAAGCACCGGCUAACUACGU
rnacentral:rRNA from 1 species